CGAGGAGAGUUUGAUCGGUGGUUAAAAUCUUCCGAGAAGAAGCCAACUGUCUUCUCUCAGCGGUGCUAAAGUGACCUCUGCUGCUAACUACUGGCCUGCUGUAAAAUUAUGGCUCCUCCUGUUGCUGUAUCGCCUUUGAUUAAGACAGCCAGAUAUUCAGCAUUAAUUGCUGGGAUCAUUUACGGUAAAAAGAGAUAUGAGCACCUGAAGCCCAUUGCUGCUGAAGAACGGAGGGUAGAGGAGGAGGAGAAAAAGGUCCGUGAGGAGCAGGAGCGCAUUGCUAAGCAGAUAGCAGAAGCAAAUGAAGACACCAUUUUGAAGUAAAGCUCUGGAAAACUGGACGUUUUCAUCCAUCUGCCUCUUCCUCCUUUUUCUGGUAGUAACAACGAUGGAGUCGGUCAGGGACUUCCUGCACAAACAUCCCUCUGGAUAGCUACAUGAUGUCAUUUUGUUUGUCUUUUACACAUCUCUGUGCGGCUUCCCAAUCACAGCUGCACUCUUAAUUUGAUGUUUGUGAUAAAUAUAAAAUAUAUUGCUCUGGUACCUGUCCCAAGUCAACACAUAACAUCCACCCACCACGGCAUUUAGGCUCAUGAAGCUUUUAGAUCAUUUUGCCUGCACCUCUCAGGAUCUGUUUCUGCCUACAAAGGUUUUAUGAAUGAUUUGUUCCUAAAUUGUAGAGUUUAAAAUAAAAACAUGACAAUGCU